rnacentral:rRNA from 1 species
AUUGAACGCUGGCGGAAUGCUUUACACAUGCAAGUCGAGCGGCAGCGCGGGGGCAACCCUGGCGGCGAGCGGCGAACGGGUGAGUAAUACAUCGGAACGUGUCCUUCAAGUGGGGAUAGCUCGGCGAAAGCCGGAUUAAUACCGCAUAAGCUCUGAGGAGGAAAGCGGGGGACGUGGUAACGGCCUCGCGCUGUUGGAGCGGCCGAUGUCGGAUUAGCUAGUUGGGGGGUAAAGGCCCACCAAGGCGACGAUCCGUAGCUGGUCUGAGAGGAUGAUCAGCCACACUGGAACUGAGACACGGUCCAGACUCCUACGGGAGGCAGCAGUGGGAAUAUUGGACAAUGGGGCAACCCUGAUCCAGCAAUGCCGCGUGAGUGA